rnacentral:lncRNA from 1 species
AUGCCUUUCCCAGAGCUGUGUGAGCACUGGCAUCUCUUGCCUUUUAUCUCCCAUUCAGCCUGCGGAGUGAAUAUCCCGAUCAUCCGCUCCUGGUGGGCAGCCCAGAGGUUUGGGGCUCUGCUUUGCUUCCUGCCUGAGAGCCCUGAUGGGGGAGCGCACACCAGGAUGGGAUGCAGCCUUUUUCCACGAGUGACUCACGUCAUGGUCCCAAGGGGAGGUGGGGAAGGCGAGGCUGCUCGAACACCUCUGUACCUCACAUAUUGGAUUGGCUGCAAGAAUGGGGUCAGCUCAGCCUCCCGGUAGAAUCUUAAUUACAAUUUCUUGUGUACCUGCCAACAUGGAAUCUGAUGGGUACAACACCAGCAUGCUGCCUGCUGUGUCAGCUGGGAAGGGAGAAGUCCCAGCCUGCCCCUGCAGGGAGCAAGCUCCUGGGGUCUGCCUGGAGCCUGCGUCGACCAAGAUGCCACAAACCAG